rnacentral:Y_RNA from 1 species
GGCUGGUCCAAGUGUAGCGGUGUCUACAGCUAAAUUGAUCACAACUAGUUACAGAUUUCUUUGUUCCUUCUCUACCCACACUGCUUCACUUGAUUAGCCUUAU